CCUUUUCUGACGAGGGAACGGGUAUGGGUUGAACGAUACAGAGAAGAUUAGCAUGGCCCAUGCGCAAGGAUGAACUGUUCAACUUAAUUGUCUUCAAGAUAAUU